GCCAGGCGGAUGUCGACACUGCAGUCGGUAGAGCAGGGGAUUGAAAAUCCCCGUGUCCUUGGUUCGAUUCCGAGUCCGGGCACCA
rnacentral:tRNA from 1 species